rnacentral:tRNA from 1 species
AGCCUUGUAGUGAUGAUCACAUCGAAUUGCAAAUUCGGAGACGUAGACUAAUACUUUGCCUGGGCUU